UCCAAGCACAUUCACAAUUUGUUCUUUAAGCACCUUUAUGUUAGUCAUUUUAAAAUCCUCACCAGUAAUUUAAAAAGCUCCACCAUUUUGGUGUUGGCAUCUACUGAUUAUCUUCUUUUGUUCACUUUGAGAUAUUUUUGGUCUUAACAUGAUGAAUAGUUUUCAAUUGUAUCCUGGAUAUUUUGGGUACUGUGUGAAGAGAUUCUAGAUCUUACGUAAACAUUCUGUUUUAUCCGGGUUCCUGUUACACCAUUCUGGAGGGGAAGGGUACAGCUCUGCCUUAUUACUUCCAGGUUGCUGCCUUCUUAAGUUCCAAUUCUGGGAUACAUGCAGCAAAAAGAAAAUCCAGGAAACCCCCUGCCAUAUCAUUUUGCAGAGCAAUGUCAAGAACAAAAUCAAAAACCUAUGGAAGCCCACUGCAAAAUUAGAGGACAAGUUUUCCCUGUAAACCCUAAGACGAUCUACUCAGCUUCAAGAACUGCAGAAUAUCAGCACCUGUUUGAGAAAACUAAAUGGAAGCAGCAUGCCCUGAGAACACAAGAACCCCAAACUGACAACGGACAUUCCCUGCAAGUAUGCCUGCAAGGUCAAUGUGAAAACAGUAGAUGAAACUAGGGGGGCGGUUUACACAUUCUAAUUGGUGUGUGAGUGCAAAAGGCCCAUAGAAAAGUCCAAAGAAGUACAACAAUCUAUAUUCUGUACACUAUAAAAAAUAAAAGCAAAAACAAAAAGAGACAAAAUUCCUUUAAAAACACAUCUACAAUAAAGUAUAAAAUGCUGAGAACAGAAUCCAUACUAAAAGGAACCAUGGCAAUAAAGGGAGAAUGAUCCCGAUAAAUCAGUUAGGGAACAGAGUCAGGGGACUAUGGAAAGGAUAAGACUAAGUCAUAAUUUAGGGCACUUUACAAACACUGAGUAGUGAGCUCUAGAUGAAGGCAGAAACAUUUCUUGGUCUAUGCUUCUUCUAUUUUAAGUACAAAAAACCUAAAUCUAUGUAAGAAUGAGUAACAGGAAAGGAUCAUAGUUGAAUCAUGUGUGAUGUUAUUAUAAGGACAAAAGAAUGAAGAACAAAAUAAUGCUCUUACAGACAGUGUAAGUAUGCUGAUGAGAACAUACUAAAAAUACAUGCCCACUAGAGAAAAAGAAAACAAUAAUCAAAUUUUUCAC